CACAGAAAAAGAUGACUGUCAUGUUUAUUGUGUCAAAUUACUGUCCCAAAAAAAUACGAUAAACAAAGCAAGAAUUCGCAAAAAAAUAUUAUAAAACUAGAUACAGUAGCGCGACAAUUAUUAAAUAAAUAGUGCGAAGUGUUGAAGUGUGUAAGAUCGACAUAAGAGGACAGGAAGCAAUAAAUCGCACGAUGUGACGUUUAGGUUUACAGUAACACAAAUAUAUUUCAUUUUUAUUCGAAAACAACAAACACAUCUAGAGAUCGCAGCGAGAAACUUUGCGCGACCGUAAAAUGCAUAUUUUGCAAAUGUUUAUGUGUUUGUGUGUGUGGACAUCCUCUGCUUCUUUAACACACUCACUCAGGAAGGGACUCAGUUGAUCACAGGACAUCAGCGAACUCGUCGACGAUCCGUACCAAGCCACGUGAGCUUGCGGACCUGAGGAGGUCCCGUCCUCCUUGCAGGACACCGUGAUGCUUAAUACCUGUAUGCGACAAGAUCGAUCGGCAUUUGCUGCACAGCACCUGGCGGGGCCUCAGUCUCACUGUGGGCCUCGCGUUCUUAUACCUGGCGGGCGGAU